rnacentral:rRNA from 1 species
GACGAACGCUGGCGGCGUGCUUAACACAUGCAAGUCGAACGCAGUGGCGAACGGGUGAGUAACGCGUAAUCAACCUGCCCUUCCGACGGGGACAACAGUUGGAAACGCCUGCUAAUACCGCAUACUGACGGCCGCGAUUGCGUCUGAUGAGCUAGUCGGAGGGGUAACGGCCCACCAAGGCGAUGAUCAGUAGCCGGUCUGAGAGGAUGAACGGCCACAUUGGGACUGAGACACGGCCCAGACUCCUACGGGAGGCAGCAGUGGGGAAUAUUCCGCAAUGGACGAAAGUCUGACGGAGCAACGCCGAGUGAGUGAUGACGGCCUUCGGGUUGUAAAGCUCUGUUAAUCGGGACGCGGUACCGGAAUAGAAAGCCACGGCUAACUACGUGCCAGCAGCCGCGGUAAUUC